GCAAGUCGAGCGGUAACAGAAAGUAGCUUGCUACUUUGCUGACGAGCGGCGGACGGGUGAGUAAUGCUUGGGAACAUGCCUUGAGGUGGGGGACAACAGUUGGAAACGACUGCUAAUACCGCAUAAUGUCUACGGACCAAAGGGGGCUUCGGCUCUCGCCUUUAGAUUGGCCCAAGUGGGAUUAGCUAGUUGGUGAGGUAAUGGCUCACCAAGGCAACGAUCCCUAGCUGGUUUGAGAGGAUGAUCAGCCACACUGGAACUGAGACACGGUCCAGACUCCUACGGGAGGCAGCAGUGGGGAAUAUUGCACAAUGGGCGAAAGCCUGAUGCAGCCAUGCCGCGUGUGUGAAGAAGGCCUUCGGGUUGUAAAGCACUUUCAGUCAGGAGGAAAGGGUGUGAGUUAAUACCUCACGUCUGUGACGUUACUGACAGAAGAAGCACCGGCUAACUCCGUGCCAGCAGCCGCGGUAAUACGGAGGGUGCGAGCGUUAAUCGGAAUUACUGGGCGUAAAGCGUACGCAGGCGGUUUGUUAAGCGAGAUGUGAAAGCCCCGGGCUCAACCUGGGAACUGCAUUUCGAACUGGCAAACUAGAGUGUGAUAGAGGGUGGUAGAAUUUCAGGUGUAGCGGUGAAAUGCGUAGAGAUCUGAAGGAAUACCGAUGGCGAAGGCAGCCACCUGGGUCAACACUGACGCUCAUGUACGAAAGCGUGGGGAGCAAACGGGAUUAGAUACCCCGGUAGUCCACGCCGUAAACGAUGUCUACUAGAAGCUCGGAACCUCGGUUCUGUUUUUCAAAGCCAACGCAUUAAGUAGACCGCCUGGGGAGUACGGCCGCAAGGUUAAAACUCAAAUGAAUUGACGGGGGCCCGCACAAGCGGUGGAGCAUGUGUUUAAUUCGAUGCAACGCGAAGAACCUUACCUACACUUGACAUACAGAGAACUUUCUAGAGAUAGAUUGGUGCCUUCGGGAACUCUGAUACAGGUGCUGCAUGGCUGUCGUCAGCUCGUGUUGUGAGAUGUUGGGUUAAGUCCCGCACCGAGCGCAACCCCUUAUCCUUAGUUGCUAGCAGUAAUGCUGAAACUCUAAGAGACUGCCGUGAUAAUCGGAGAGUGGGACGACGUCAGUCAUCAUGCCUUACGUGUAGGCUCACACGUGCUACAUGGCGCAUAGGAGGCUGCCAACUCGCGGAGAAUAGGAAUCACUUAAGUGGUUGAUCGGAAUGGAGCCUGAACUCGGAUUCAUAAAUGGCGCACACCUUACUAAAUCACUGCCAUUA
rnacentral:rRNA from 1 species